CAUGUAAACAUGGAACGAAACUGAAAGUCAACCCGGAACGAAACUCGAUCCGGUAUCAUGUAAACAGCCACUUUGAAACGACAAGCAACAGUUUUCAAAAUAGGAUUGAUUGAUAUGACUUCCAAGGGGUAGAAACCACAGAUGAGGUCUCGCAGUGUGACUCGUGUUCGCGCAGUUCCUGUAGGUGUUUAUCUCUCUUGCACCGGACACAAGAAACUCUCAGCUUAGCAAUGAUGCUAACAAGAAGUUUGGGAGGCUUUCCCAACUCGGCUACCAAUGUCGGGUGAUUACACACCGGACAAGGCCCACCGUCGCCCGUGCUACCUAGCCAUUGACUUAUGCAUGAUGCACAGUACAAGUGCUCACAGCUACCUAUAACCGCUGCUUGCAAAAUCUCUUUGCAAAUGGGGCAGACCACUUCUUCGGAAAAAGUGGUGGGGGCAUUACCCCCACCACUUUGGCUGAUACAGCCGCUGGGGGGAUACUGACAGGGGAUGGGAUGCUUUGUUUCUUAGGUCUUCCACGGCCUAGAGAUCUUUUUCGUUUUUUUCCUCCUCGUUUCUUAAGUAAGAUACAUGCUUCACAAUCAUCGCCAUCGCUGUGGGCAUUCUACUCCACGACCUGUGUUGCACAUUGAUAGGCCUGACUGGUUGAUAUUUUUUUGCUUUGCUGUAACAAUUGUUACAAAGAUGCUUAGGGUGGACGUCGUUUUCGUCCCUUCCUGUGUCGACGCUGAAAGCUCUUUGGAUAAGCGUACUUAUGUGUGGUGCACUGCAGUUGUAGGUGUACGCCUGAUAUGCGACAAGAUUUGUCUAAAUUUUUCGAUGAAAUGUCGCCAUUACUGGAAAGUAAGGUUAAAACAUGGACUAUUCAGUCAUUUCCAGUUAUAAAUAAUAUCAUUGCAAUGUUUGCAAUGUAAAAAAAACUUUGUACGACUAUGUUGGUUUAUGGUACAGGCGUUUACGAACAAUUGAUAUUCGGUAGCAUAAAGUAAAUGAUAUCAAUUUAAAUCGUAAAUAUCACUUUUUUAGACUUCCGUGAUAAAGGAGCUAGCGCGGAAGGUUGGAGUCAAGGGUUCACGCUACGACACCCUCAGAUUACUGAAGACAGCAAUGGGUGCACCUGAAGUCUUUAUUAAAGUCUUCUCGAAAAUUCACGGUGGAUCAGGUUAUGACAUAAUCAAAAACUACAAUUUAGGCCAAGUUAAAGAACAAACAUUCUUUUCCUUCCAAUUUUCUAGAAAAACGAGCGGGCUUUUUUUAAAUUAUUUCCUGUAUUUUUACUAUUGUCUUCCAAUGACAUCGGCCUUAGUAGAUACUUUGCUUUUACAUGCAUUAAGACACCAUUCAUUGCCAUUCGGUAUCACCAAUCAGUAAAACCGCAAUAUUCUUGCUGUUUUUUUUAGGAAGGAACGUAAACGUUAAGCAAUUAUCUUUCAAACAUUCACUGGCACCUUUUAUAUGCAGGUGGGUGGCUAGGGAUGACUUGUCGUUGAUGCUAUGGCAUCAAAUAGCUACUUCGCCAAGAGGGUGAAGCGAGAUCAUGUGGACAUUCUGCGAAGCCUUCGCGCGCAGCCAACCACCGUGAGCAUCAUAGACUUUCCUAACAUGGUUGCCCAUGGUUGCCCAUGGAGACAUCAGAUUUCCUGGCAUGUUUGCUCCCGAUGGUAGCAGAAUAGCUUCUCCAACGGCGGAAAACAUAGGGGCCGCAAAGGAUGGAAGCCUAACUGUCGAGUGGCAAUGGCUUCCCAGUUCAAGCAGUAGGGAUAAAGCUGACGACAAUGUCCAUCCCGUCAACAAGCUGCUCACUACUCCUUGUUUGACACGUUCCACGAGGAAAACUGGUCUCUUUUCCUGUUAGCGAGGCUUAGCUUGACAUAUAUCGGAAAAUAUUAGUCUGCAAUGCAUCGGUACUGGACGGAUGAAAUUACUCACGCUUGCAUAUCUCGUUUUUAAGUCGUGGAUAGCGAAGCUAUGCAUGACUUUUUGCGUUAGCGGGGUUGUGUCACUGGCUAAUCACUAAUAGCUUAUUAAUCGUCGAAUCAAGUGUAACCCACAGCCAAUCAUGACUCUUCUAAUAUGACAACUGUUGGCGAAUCAAAACAAACGUUUUAGGAGACUGUCGAUGACGUCACGUAUGUAAAACGAAUGAACAGAUAAAGCCGCCAUCUUGAAAAGCGUGUCUUGGAAAGUUAUUCUGCAUUCUGUCUUGGAAAGUUAUCCCGCAUUCGUCAAACGAAAGCCAUGGUUGUCCUUUCAAGGACCUCAGAUACCAACAUUCUGCACAUUCGUGACCUAAGGAUCGAAUGUGAUCCAAGGCCUUUGAAUCGUCGGGGCAAACACUGCGAUUUGCCGAAAUCGAAUUGGCAUGUGUGUCGCAAGACGAGGAGACAGAAUUUUACCCUGUCGUAGAUCCCUUAAUCUCACGAGGAAUGAAUAAAUUCCUUCAGGAAAGUGAGACCAAUCUACGCCAUCGAGCGUCAAUCGUAUCGCUAUCAAAUCGCAAUCAAUGCUAUACAACUGCUAUACAAUGCUAUCAAAAUGUGCUACUGUAUCGAACGAGACCGUCAACACAACAGACACCACAGUGAACAAUGACCUGGAGAACUAUGAGGAUAUCCAACGCGAAGUAAUAAAAAGUCAACCACUGUUGAGUACUUCGAGGCUUUAACGCUACCCUAGGUCUCGAACGAAGGUUUCCCGUACAGGCCAUCGCAAUUUACGUGAGAGAGAACCAUCCAGAGUACCCUUCAAUAAAAUCCUGAUAAGGAUUAGUAAAAGGGAAAAGUAAUGAAAAAGUGUUUGCUGUAUUACUUGAAGCAAAAUAUACCUAAAUCUUCCAUUUUAAAAAGAAUGUUGUUCCCCACGUUUCGAAUUUAUAUUGCAAUAAAGAUGUCUAUGGCUAGACCCCAAUGCAGACACGGAAAUGCUUCUCCCUGAGAAAUAUUGUACUACACUGAGAAAUAUUGUAUUUUUGUCAUGAGAACAAGAACCGCAAAUCACAAAACCUCUCCUACAUUAUUUUAUCAUAAAGCACUAGCCUCGUCUAGCAAGCAAAGUGAGACAUAUUGUGCUUCUCAUACAGAGUUGCUGCUAUCAAAUGAUGUGGAACAAAAUCCAGGAACUCUCUCCCCAUAUGCUCCCAGAGGUAUGAUGAUAAUUGACUCGCCCAUGUCAGUAUUCCAGGCCCGGUUAGCACAACAAGGUUUAAGAGCUGUAGAUGUUGUCUCAGAUGGAGCAUGCUUUUUUAGAUCAAUUUCAUUUCAACUCUAUAAUAAUGUCAGCUAUCACUUGAAUGUGCGUGCUGCAGCUGUUAAUUACAUGAGGGCUAACCCAGGCAGAUUCAUAGAGUAUGUCACAGAGCAAUCAUGGGCAAGUUAUCUAAAUAAUAUGUCCCAACAAGGUACAUGGUGUGAUCAUCUUGCUGUACAAGCAGUAUCAGAUGCAUUAAACGUAAGAGUCGUGAGAUGCACACAGAUGAUUUAAGAGAUACAGCCGUACAAUAAUCUCGGGUAAAAUAUAGCACUAACAAACCUGCAGAAAAUGCAUCUUUAUCAAAAAAGGAGCAAAAAAGGGCCUAUAUGAGAGAGUACAUGAGAAAAAAAAAGACAAACUGAAAGUUAAAAGAAUAUUACAUCAAAAGACAAGGUUUGAGAAUACUGAAAAACUUAAAAAAUAUGAAAGGCAAUACUAUCAUAAGCGCAAGGCCUCCACCAACCCUGACUAUAUUUUGAAGAGAGCCAGAGAGGCUUAUCAGAAUAGAAAAGAAAAAGACCCUGAGCAUGUAAGAGAAUUAUAUCAACAGGGAUAUCAAAGGCGCAAAGAGAAAAACCCUGAGCACGUAAGAGAAUUAAGUCGACAGGGAUAUCAAAGGCACAAAGAGAAAAACCCUAAGCAUGUAAGAGAAUUAAGUCGACAGGGAUUUCAACGGCAUUAAGGGAAAAACCAAGAAACAUAAACAAAAUUGCUCAACAGAAAAGGAGAUCUUUUCUUUCUUCAACUCCUAAUGAUUCUGCUAUAGAUGUUGAUUUAAGUCCCACUUUUGUUCUAUGCUAAAAGUGAUUCAAUCAUUUCAUGAUAAUAUAAGGCUGGGUCCAGAAUAUGUUUGUACUUGUUGUGAUCAGUUGUGGUAUAGAUCAUGUCUUAAAGUGUGCUGUUAGUAAAUACAGUUCCACUUGUCCGCAAACCUUGAUAGACAAAUGUGUUACUGGUACAAAAAGUGUUCAAAAUACUGAAUGGAUCUGUUUCACUUGUGACUCAAACCUAAGAGAAGGCAAGUUACCAACAUGUUCUCAAAAGCAAACAAAAUGUGUUUUCCCAUUAAGCCAGAAUGUUUCAAUGUAACUCCUCUAGAAGAGCGUUUAAUUUAUCCAUGUAUCCCAUUCAUGGAAAUACGUGAGCUGCCUAAGGGUGGUCAGCUUUCUAUACAUGGAAAUGUUGUCAAUGUUCCAGCUGAUGUCAAUUCAACAGUAAGUGUACUGCCCCGGCCUAUCAAUGAGUCACAAACGAUUCCUAUCAAAUUAAAGAGAAGACUGAACUACAAACAUCAUCACCAGUUUCCGAAUGUUAGGCCUGCGAAAGCAGCUCGGCAUCUUGUUAAGACCAGCAAAUUGUUCCAAAAGGAGCAUAUAGAAAUGCAGGAUGACUGGCCAAAUAACUUUAUUACUGAACCUACUGUCUCUUCAGAAACAGACGAUGGUCACACUGAAUGGAAAGAGUUUAUGAUUGAUGCUAAUGCUAGUAAUGGCAAUGAUGAACUCCCAAGGGCUGAUGUUAUGUCUGAAAACCAUUUCCCUAGUGAAUCUGAACAGAAGAGUAAAUCUCAAGUAAACACUAAUGAGAAAA